UAACCAUGAUGAAGGCGCCUCCUUUAUAACUCCUUAAACUUUUUCCAUGCUUCAUAAAGUGACUCAUAAUCCUUUUGGUAGAAACUAGCAAUCUUCUAUAUGAUCUC